AAAGGAAUUGACGGGGGCCCGCACAAGCAGUGGAGUAUGUGGUUUAAUUCGAAGCAACGCGAAGAACCUUACCAGGGCUUGACAUAUACAUGAAUAUAUCAGAGAUGAUAUAGCUCUUCGGAGCAUGUAUACAGGUGGUGCAUGGUUGUCGUCAGCUCGUGUCGUGAGAUGUUGGGUUAAGUCCCGCAACGAGCGCAACCCCUAUUGUUAGUUGCUAACAUUAAGUUGAGAACUCUAGCAAGACUGCCGGUGAUAAAUCGGAGGAAGGUGGGGACGACGUCAAAUCAUCAUGCCCUUUAUGUCCUGGGCUACACACGUACUACAAUGGGAGUAACAGAGGGAAGCAAAGCAGCGAUGCAGAGCAAAACCCAAAAAGCUCCCACAGUUCGGAUUGAAGGCUGAAAUUCGCCUUCAUGAAGCUGGAAUUGCUAGUAAUGGCAGGUCAGCAUACUGCCGUGAAUACGUUCCCGGGCCUUGUACACACCGCCCGU
rnacentral:rRNA from 1 species